AAGGAUUUAAGUUAAAUUUAAACUAGUAACCUUCAAAGUUACCAAUAAAGACUUGUUAAGCCUUA
rnacentral:tRNA from 1 species